UACGUAGGGGGCAAGCGUUGUCCGGAAUCAUUGGGCGUAAAGCGCGUGUAGGCGGUUCGAUAAGUCUGCUGUGAAAGUCCAGGCUCAACCCUGGAAAGCCGGUGGAUACUGUCGGACUAGAGUACGGAAGAGGCGAGUGGAAUUCCCGGUGUAGCGGUGAAAUGCGCAGAUAUCGGGAGGAACACCAAUUGCGAAGGCAGCUCGCUGGGACGUCACUGACGCUGAGACGCGAAAAGCGUGGGGAGCAAACAGGG
rnacentral:rRNA from 1 species